CACUGUACAGCUAUCACAGCAUUAACCUUUUAAGUUGAAGAUUGAGAAGAUACUCUUCUCUGCAGUGA
rnacentral:tRNA from 1 species